GCCUAGGAAUCUGCCUGGUAGUGGGGGAUAACGUCCGGAAACGGACGCUAAUACCGCAUACGUCCUACGGGAGAAAGCAGGGGACCUUCGGGCCUUGCGCUAUCAGAUGAGCCUAGGUCGGAUUAGCUAGUUGGUGGGGUAAUGGCUCACCAAGGCGACGAUCCGUGACUGGUCUGAGAGGAUGAUCAGUCACACUGGAACUGAGACACGGUCCAGACUCCUACGGGAGGCAGCAGUGGGGAAUAUUGGACAAUGGGCGAAAGCCUGAUCCAGCCAUGCCGCGUGUGUGAAGAAGGUCUUCGGAUUGUAAAGCACUUUAAGUUGGGAGGAAGGGCAGUAAAUUAAUACUUUGCUGUUUUGACGUUACCGACAGAAUAAGCACCGGCUAACUCUGUGCCAGCAGCCGCGGUAAUACAGAGGGUGCAAGCGUUAAUCGGAAUUACUGGGCGUAAAGCGCGCGUAGGUGGUUCGUUAAGUUGGAUGUGAAAUCCCCGGGCUCAACCUGGGAACUGCAUUCAAAACUGACGAGCUAGAGUAUGGUAGAGGGUGGUGGAAUUUCCUGUGUAGCGGUGAAAUGCGUAGAUAUAGGAAGGAACACCAGUGGCGAA
rnacentral:rRNA from 1 species